UAUACAGGUAUGUUAUUUUGUGUUUGUUUAUACAGGUAUGUUAUUUUGUGUUUGUUUGUUUAUACAGGUGUGUUAUUUUGUAUUUGUUCGUGUGUUUAUACAGAUGUGUUAUUUUAUGUUUGUUUAUUUCUUUAUACAGGUAUGUUAUUUUGUGUUUGUUUAUUUGUUUAUACAGGUAUGUACUUUUGUGUUUGUUUAUGUGUUUAUACAGGUAUGUUAUUUUGUGUUUGUUUGUUUAUACAGGUAUGUAAUUUUGUGUUUGUUUAUACAGGUAUGUUAUUUUGUGU